rnacentral:lncRNA from 1 species
UUUUUGCCUUUGAGCAAUUCACUAUGCUGUUGAAUAUUAAUCCUCUCAAAAAAAUGUUUGAAGAAAUUUUCUUUUUAUUUAUGAAAUCUGAAAUGAAAAAAUUGACCCCCCAAUUUUUUUUUUCACAUCCCCCUUUCCCUUAUUUCAAAACUGAUCUCAAUUCAAAUUUCUAAUGAAGUUUGCAACAAUAACUACUCAUUUAAA